CUUUAAGAACGAACCUGAGAAGCAGAGACCUUCCUUUUCCAAUAGUUUGAAGCCCUCUGGUCUGUUGUGUUUGUUCCCCAGUCUGUGUCAGGUGCCCAAGCAGCUCUGUGAGAUGAUCUGAGCAAGCAAUUACAAUGGAGAUGAGCAGUGACCUUCUCACCCUGUUCAGUGCAUUCUGAUCUGCACGGCUGGCUUUGAACCAGUGCCCAUUCCCAUCUGUAUUACUGACCUGGGUGAGGGGGCACAGUGGUGCACCCCAAUGAGCUCACAGCACACCGGGACCGGCUGGGAAGCAGCUCUACAGAUGGGCCUGGUCUUCCUGGUGGUCACCACAGUGAAGAUGAGCCAGCAAUGUGAUAUUGCUGCAAAAGGAAAAAGUCAACGGCAUUCUGCAGUCUGUGUGAGGGGAUGAUCCUCCUGCCAGGGCACAAGGAAAUUAUUUGUGUUGAGUGGCCAGGUGGGCAGCCUGGAGAAGCCGUGAGGCCUUGAGGAGUUGCGCUCAGUGCCAGUGGCAAGAGGCUGAGUAAUCCACUGUUCUGGUGUGGCUUUAGCAGGAGGUGGACCAGGUAUCUCCAGAGGUCCUUGUCAGCCUCAGCUGCUCUAAUUGCUGUGAGUUGUCAAUGAUCAACCAGGCAAAGGAAGGAGAAUGUGUGGCCUGAUGACCUCCAGACUGAGAUCAGUGACUCAGGGCACAAAGUGCUGGUGGGCAGCGCGUGUGCUGUGGUUCCAUGUGUGGAGAAAACCAGAUGCAACAGAAAGAACAACUGAGAAAAGGCAUGGGAAGGGAAAGGAAAUGUUGCUGUAUUACCUCUAGUUGAUCAUUCUGCUGCGUCUCAUAGUAGUGCUCAUGCAGCUGGUAGAAAAGAGCCAAGAGAUCCUUCUGUACAAGGACACAGCUGCUGUGUUUAAUUCAUAAAGCACCACUUAACUUAUGGUGUUGGGUGUGGUGAUUCUCAGAAGAGCCAGAAGGUUCCAUUGGAAAGGCUGGGGGCUGUAACAACCUGGAGAUACUUUUCUCAUUUUGUUCACAAUAUAAAUGAUACUUGAAUUAAUAUUCAUGCUGAAAUAAAGUCUGGGGGAGCUUGGUUAGUACCAUAGUAAGUAAAGAGUACAAGGAAG
ensembl:lncRNA